AUUCUCUGUGAAGAAACUAUUUUUAUGAUGUCAUUUCCCUUAAUGUCAUCUCUUUUACAGAAAGAAGAGUCAGCCAUCAUACUUGUGAAAAUGGUAUUACUGGGAUUGCUAAAUGAUACUAAUGCCAGAGGAGAUGCUGUAGGAGAGCCACCAUUGCCAGCUGUACGUUCACACUGAUUUGGCAGUCUUUAGAUGCUUUCAGUACCCUGGCAAAGCUUUUCUGGUGUUUCUGGAGGAUACGCAUCAUAAUGACAGGAAAAUAAGCCAGAACAAUUUAAGGUAAGAGCUGUGCUGUGACAGGCGGUAAGUAUGAAAGAGAGAUGUAAUAUUCCUCUUUC
rnacentral:lncRNA from 1 species